rnacentral:piRNA from 1 species
UAUGUUUUAGUUGAAAAUGUGCUUGGUGA